AACCCGUAGUGAGGGUACCUUCUUAGUAAGUCCUUGUAUCUCUUCCAUGCAUCAUAAAGAGUUUCUAAGUCCAUCUGCACAAACGAAGAGAUAUCAUUACGUAAUU
rnacentral:snoRNA from 1 species